GGGGUGUAGCUCAGUGGUAGAG
rnacentral:miRNA from 1 species